rnacentral:lncRNA from 1 species
CCCUCGUGGUGCUUGGAUGGAGAGCAGCCUACCCAAUUGGACACUCAUCCCCAGGUGUCUUUGAGAUGCUUAAUGGCAGGGUUCUGCAGAGCAGAAAGGAUCGUUUGGAAGGAUGUGAAAUUUCUGAGGCCUAGGCACCCCUAGGGAAGGGAAGAGAUUGAGCUGUGAGUGGGGGCUGGAGCUCUCCAGCUCUGGAUUCUGUCCCCUCAUGGACUUCUCCUGUCCUGGAUGAGACAGAUGCCCAGGAAACCCAGGGAGGACACACCUGGGACCUGAGGAGUAACACUGUCAGGCACAAGGAUUUUUAGCUGAACACAAGGAAGGAGCACAGGAAGGAAGUGAGCUUGCCACCACCAGGACCUCAAGUCAAGGUCAGUGUGGCCCUGGCAGGAGUGUCUAGGGCCAGUGCAGGGACUCAGACCACAGACUUCAAUAUCGACAGCUGAGAAACAAGAGGCAAUUCCCAUGACUCCAAACAGAGUCUCCAUGGGCCUCCCAUGACUUACCUUGGCCACAUGAAUCCACAGCUCCACCAUCCUGGCCCUGUCCUGCGCUGUCAUGCCCAGGGCCCCGAGGCACGUAGCGAUGACACUGUUGGCCAAGGUGUUCGUGUGUGCCACAGUGUCACGGAUGGUGGGUGCCAGGUACUUGUGGUCCCUGCUGUCUCGCUGGGACCAGAUGGAGCCCAGGCAGUGGGCAGGCACCAAUUUCUUGAACAGCUCCUGAGGAAGAUUCAGAGUGUUGCCAGCACUGCCUCACACCAGCUCGGCAUCCAUGGUCCUCCACAGUCCCAGGCUGGUUGAGGACAGAGCGGGAGCUCAGGAAGCAGAGGAUGUGAUCUCUGAGGAAGGACUCCACUGCCUUUAAGGGAACUCUAGCCCAUGAACCUCAACACAGACAGUCUUCUCAGACUCCAGUCCCCUCACCUUUCUGUUUGGCCUCAAUGGCCUUGAGGUGCUCCAGGUGGCCUGGCAGAAGGGUCUGGACACAGCCCACCCCAGCCCUCCAUGCAAAUGGGCCACUGGAAUGAAGACUCCAGCAGAUCUGUGAGCAGCUUUCUCACGCACCUCCUACUAUGGACCUGGUGGUGGUGCUCACAAGGGGUGGAUGUGGAGAAAGGGAGGCAGAAGGAGCUGGGACUCUGCUGGGAUUGGGUCUCUAGGAGGCAACUCAGCCCAGCCUCCCUUCCGGUUCUCAGGGGGCCUGGGACCCAUGCAUAGCUCUCUUUGAGUCCAGUCCUGCUGGAGUGGAAGCCACCAGAACUCAGCCUUCCCAUGGGAAUCACAAGAUGGGUGAGAUGCAGGGCUCUCCCAGGCCUGCGCCAGCCACAGCCUCCAUCCUCUCCCCGCACCCUGUUUUCUAGAGACAGGAGGCCCUCCGUCUGCACCCAAAGACCACUCACUUUGGGAGGUGGUGCUGUCCUCCAGCAUCCUGCACACAAUGGGCCAAGCUGCCUCCAUGUGUCCCAAAGGGGAUGAGGGCAUCGGCCGGGAUGGAGGGUAGAUGGGACCUAGGAAUGAUGUCAAGCGUGACUGACUCUCAGAUUAGAGAGGAGGCCCAGUGAGGCUGUCUGCUUCAUUUAUUGAGUGACACUUAGUGUGUCCAGAUGCCCUGCACACAGUACGUCCUUCAUAGACAUUGUUAAAUGAACUCCAACCAGAACCACCCCAGGUGUCUGAGUAGGCCUGUGGCCCCUCUGUGACCCUAGAGAUCCCUAAGUGGCUACACCAAGGACAAGCACCAGGACCAGCUGGAUGGCAUCUCAAACUCCUUGACAGGGUGCUCUCCAGGUGUUUUUCCAAACUCAAAA